UAUAUAUAUAUAUGAAAACCAUUUAAAAGUCUCUAAAUCCUUUGAGCUAUAGCGGGAAGGGAGAGAUUCUGGAAUUAAGAUAUUUGUCUUGCCCAGACCUGCUAGAACACUGUAGAGUGAAGAAUGAAGGGAGUGCACGUGUGCACGUAUCAUGUAAUCCCAACAAACCUGGGGAGAGUCAUUCACUUGGACUUCUAAUCUAUCAUUUGGGACAUCAACACUAGUCCCUGUGUAACCUAUGAUGGGAGGGGAAGUCUGAAUUUCUGCUCGCAGCUUAGAAGUACAAAUCUAGAAGGAAAUAAAAUGUAAGUACGUUCUAUUCUACCUUCCGAAAGUUCCUCAGGGAACUCAGGGUCGAGAGUCUGCUGGAACUUUACACAAGACAUAGGCAAUAGACAAAGUUUCAGUCACGACUCUGAGUUCCCUUGCAUCAUUUAUUCAGAUGCUGUGAAGUUUGAAACUGAGGUAUGAGGCAAUGUUAACAACGAUUUUGGGGUAGAGAAACAAAAUGUAAGAGAAAUUUAAGCCUUUAGAAAUCAACAAGGGUAGGUCACUGUGGAGUCCAAGGGAGGCAGAAAUAUACCAUUAAGAACAGUGUGCUAGCGUGGGCCCCUUGUUUGUACCAAAAAUAACAGAAGCACAUGCUUAACUAUAGAAUCUAAAAGCAAGUACAAGUUGCAACCCCCUCCUAAAUUACAAUUCCUCCCUCACCCCUUCUCUUACACACACACACACACACACACACACACACACACACACACACACACACACACACACAGAGUGUGCAAACACACUCACAGUAGCUUAGUAGAGAAUUUAAGACAAACUCUUCCCUGGAGAAAGCCUACUGCCAAAGCACAUCUGGGUUCUGCUUCCAGAUGGCAUUUUACAAGUUCCUAUCGCUUCCAAACCUCACCAGGGCAACCCUGCUUCAAAAGGAAUUUAAUUUUUCCUUGCACAAAAAACUAUUGGGUCUCCCAUGGCUACUGCAUGAGAAGAACACAUCGAUACUAGAGAGACAGAUCUUCUAUGACUUUUCUUUAGUGAAUAAAGAGAUUGUUUUCAGAUUUCAUUAACCUUUAAUGUUCUUGGAACACAGCCCAGGGAAAUCUCUAAAAGACAGGUGUGGCUCAAGUGUGUUUCCCUAUUGUUAAAAAGCAAAAUAAAUUCAACAAAGAUAGUUCAUAUCAGUAGUAAACAGAUUUUUUUUAAAUAACUGGGCUCACAUAACAGCAGCCUGUAAGAAAAUAGAAAUCUUACAUCAUAUGCAAAAAUUAAUUCCAGAUGGACUGAAGACAAAUUUGAAAUGUUCAAAUCUUCCUAAACAAUCUAAAGGACUACAUGCACAAUCCAUGUUUCCAGGUAGAUAUCCUUAAUCAGGAUUAAAAACAAAACAAGAGAUUGUCUAUCUAAAACAUGUUAAAUGGAAUAAUGCAAAGUUAGCAGAGCAGAUAGAUGUAAAUAAAAAUAUCCCCCAGAGAAUACAAACCCUAUCUAGAGGAGCAGUGAGAUGAUGUAGUGGCCAGAGAUGCUGUCCAGCUUGAGGAUUUGACUCCAAUGCCUAGGACCCUCUGCCCUACACAUGCACAUGCCUUGGUAUAUAAACAACACACUGGGUAAAUGGGGAUACAGGGUGAAUAGAAAGCAAGUAUGAAGAGCACACACUGGAUGUUCAAGUAGACCACAGCAUGGUGGUCUGAAUAAGAAUGCCCAAUAGAUAAACUUGAAUGCUUGGUCACCAAAGAGUGAUACCAUUUGAACAGAUUAGAAGGAUUGGGAGGUAUAGCCUUGUUGGAGGCAGUGUGUCACUGGGCACUGGGCCUUUGAGGUUUCAAAAGCCUAAACCAAGCCUAGAGUCUCUCUCUGCUUAUAGAUCGGGAUGCAGUUCUCAGCAACUUCCCCAACACCACGCCUGCUUGCUGCCAUGCUCCCUGCCAUGAUCAUGAUGAACUAAACCUCUGAAACUGCUCCACAUUCAACUCUACAUAAGAUACUCAGAUUACUAUCUUCCAGUUAAAACAAAGAAAAACAGAGCAUGGGGAUGGAAGGGAGAGCAAAAGAUGAAACACGGCAAGACUGGAAAGAGCUACAGCAUCCACCGUGUAGUAAUUGGGAGGCUCUUCCUCUGGCAAUAAAAGAUAUUCUUUCAGCAACUGUCACCUCCACACGCUGAUAGAUAAAGCUGCUAAUAAAGGCCUUCAGUGCUAAGUUGGCAGACUGAGACAAUAUCAUUUCCUGUCAGUCACUGGCCUAUACAGAGAGAACUGAGACAGACUCUUCCAACUGCCUUCUCCACAGACUGCAUGGGAAGACAUUUUGCACAGAUGUUCACCAGAAGACAAAUGACAUUCAAGCUCUCAUAUUAGCUUGUCCCCAUGACUUGCAGUGCUCCGUGAAUUUCUAUCAUUCAGCCUUGAGUACCAGUGUUUAGACUCCUGGCUGUAACACUUUGAAGCAACGACAGUCUGGCUCACAUAACUGGCCCAAACAUCAGUCUGGGUGUGUUAUUAUGGACCACAUGCACAAAACAAUACAUGCAGUAUUUCUAAACUCAUCAUGACUAUUCAACUGCAAAAUCAGAGCUAACAGCUACUUAAUAAUAGAAGAAAAACAGAAAGAAAAUUUAGAAAGUGAUUAGCCCCUAUGAAAUUUGAGAUUAUCCCAUAAACAUCCCAUAGAAACCAGUAUAAAGUUAUAAUUUUUUUGUUAUUUUGAUUACAAGAUCUUUACAAAAGUUUUAUUAACAAAAAUCUCAGGAAGUUCACACAAAAAUAUAUUAUUGAGGCUAACUUAACAGUAACCAAAGAAACAUUAAUACAAAUGAAAAAAGGCAUGCUUUUUUUUUAAUUAUCUAAAUUAGCAAAGACUAAGAAAUGACUAUGACAGUCGGUGGCGUGUGAAGUGACAGUCAUACUUGUCACAGUCUCAGUGUUUCCUGAUGCAACUUACCAACACUCAUGAACUUUUUUGGGAGGGAGCCUCAAACAAUGAUGUGAUAAGAAACUACCAAUUUAAGUACAAAAGUGUUCUCAAAGACAGCAUACUCAAAGGGAGUGUCUCUCAGUAGGAAAAUGGUCGAAAAACGAAUGAUCACUCCUAAGACAGAAGCCCAUUAAUCUUAGCAGUUUUGCCUUCCAGCAGUAACAAAGUAGAGUGCAGCAGAGUGUGUAGCUGACGGAGAGGCAGUUUGGUCCUGCUUUCACAUUCUUACCUGCUCCUUACACUCCGUACCUGCCUAAUACCAACUGUCACGUAACAGUUAAUAUGUCCUCUGAGUUUAAAGCCAAUAUUCACUCUGCCUUCUUCUAUAUUUUCCAAAUUUCCUAUGAUGAUGAAAAUAGAAAAUACUACUUUGAAUACAGCUAUCACACCUUUCUUUCCAAAAGGACCAGAGUAGGGAAACGCUUCUCUCAAGAGUUAUACAGUUAUUCCACAAGUGUAUCAAGACAGGGAAAAUGGGAAAACUGUGCCAGGCCAAGCAGUGGUGGCUGUGUGACCACCGUUCCUUAAAGACACAGCUCUCCCUGUGCUUUUCAUACAGCUCUUUCAGCUCUAAUAACAGGUUUCUUUGCUGAGGAUGUAGCUGAUGGGAGAUUACUUACCUAACAUGAAUAAGCUCUAAUUAUCCCCACCCCCAAACAAACAAACAAACAAACAACAGACAGGCUUGUUAAAUGCAGGGGAGACGUCAGGGAGCCGGGCUGUUUUAAAACCUUUCUGAGUAACAGACGUCUCUAAUGGGCGUCCAUCUCCUGCCACAGGUCAGACUCUCUGCCUUUGUGUUCUCCCACAUCAAAGUGCCAAAGCCCUGACCAACAAGAUGUCAGUGAAAGGAGGUGAGGAGCUAGGAGGAAAUACCCUUUGCCCUUCUUGCUACAUGGGAUGCAACAGCUAGGGCUCCAGCAGCCAUUCGGAACCAUGAGGUCACCUUGACAGGAACAACAGCUUGAAGGAGACAGAGCAAAAAGGCGCAACAGUGUAAGUCUUAAACUCUGGUCUAGCAUGUCAGCCCUGACGAUAUAGAGAAAGGCUUGUCCAUGCUGCGUAAGUCACUCUGUGUGUGCGCGCGUAGUUCGAUAUGACUGAAAUUAACCUUGGCUGAUGUACAGUAACCAGGAUAAAUGAGCUUCUGAAAUUUUUGCCGAACCUGUCUACUCUGGCUCCAUUUUAACCGGCCAAAACACGAGACCAAAAUAAACAGGAAAAAAAAAAAAUAAGGGAGCCUCUUAAUAAAGCUUCCUGUGACUUGUUAUUUUUAAGUAGGUAAUCUGAACCUUCUAGAACACUUCUAUCUCACAUACACGCAUGUGCCUCUCUCCCAGCUAACUAAGUUGCUGUUUAACUUGGGCCUGGAGCUUAACUGAUUUUGUGGGACGUUGGCCCCAAGGUAGAAAUGAAUGCUGAGAUAUCCUAAACGUGAACGCCCAGAACAGUUUGUGAUGAAAGACCCACGACCAUAGCAAGGACAGAAAUGAAAGGGGAUGGAGACCUUUGUUCCGUGGCUCUGACCAUUCUUGCGGUCCACUGUGACUAUAACAGAACGGUGCUCCGAAGUGAGCAUCACUUGUGGAAGAAGCUGAACUAGCAGAGGUGGGCAUUCACGUGUUAUGCAAGGUUUUCUCAGGGAGUUCUUUAACCUUUUUAUGAAUGGAUGGCAGUCUCCAAGAACCAGUGCUUGUAACUGUCUACAUGGUGGUACACAUGAUUAGAAACAGUGGUGCUACAGAAAGGGGGUGACUCUGGCCUGCUAUUCUGAGUAUGUAAAUCUAGUCCCCUGAGUUUCAUUUCUAACAUCAUGAAGUCUGGUAUUAAAGAAGCUAUCGUCUUAAUAAAGGGGAAAGAAAGUGUCUGGCUGAGGAAGUUUUUCUCCAGUGAGUUAAGAAAAUAAGGCAGCAGACAGUAUAUCUGAACUCUUCCCAGGGAUCUACACAGAGACACUACUCAAACAACUGCAUUCUCCUCUGUGCUGUUACUAGGCUUGAACUCAGUAACUUGCAGUGCAUGGUCAGUAUUACCCAGAAUAACAAGUGUCUCCACAGUGCUGGGAAUUCAUAUUGCAUUGUAAAUUCAACAAUAUGGUAUUUAUUAAACAAGCAUUAAGCCACCAAAGCCCAAGCGGCGUUUAACCACUUCAGUCUGGGAAUCGAUUGAGAUGCCUUGCCUGUACUUGAGAGGCAAUGCAUCACGGUGCUGCGAAGGGCUUCGGAGUACUUUUCCUUCCACAGAAUACUCCUUCAAGGGCAUAAAAGGAAACUCAUUGUCUGGGAUUAAGACACUACAGUCAGUCUUGUGGCUAUUCUAGGAAGAGACAACUGUACCAAAUUAGCAAUUACAGUCUUGUAGCACAUUUCAACCAAGUGGUUUGCUUUGCUUAGAAAUAAAAUUGCUAGUGUCCAUGGUGAGACCCUGGGUGGCUGAACAGAUGACUGCCUCAUUGGACCUUCCUUUCUCCAAGUGAUGACUAGUCUCAAAGAUUCCGGCACUCUGACGCACCCACAUGGGGACCGUGUGAGCGGCGUAAUGACAUCAAAGUUAAAAUUCAAAGGCAUGGACAGUGCAACAUGUACAGUCACCCUCAUUUUAGCAUAGCACGUGGUUUAUUCAUCCAGCAACUUUUUAUUUACCCUGAAAAUAAAUUGCAAUUUCUUGAGAGAAUUUAUUUAAAAUACUACAACUAACGGCUAUUGCAGGCCUGUCUUAGGCCACACAGUUCUUAACACUGAAAUUUGCCCAUUCACUUAUUAAGUGCUUACUCAGAGCUUCCUGCAGGACGGGCUCUGUGCUACGAGCUGAGACAUAGUAAUAACUCUGGGUUUCUUUAACCUGCAGUUGGAGAAAAGGUUCUUGUGGAUUUCAGAGUAGAGGUGGGUAGGGAAGUGGGGGAGGCUUUUCAUGUGAGAAUAUGCCAGGAAAGAGUUAAUCUCCAGAAAUGUAAAACCUUUUGCUAUUCUUUACGAAUGACGAAAUAUGUAAACUGUGAGUGGAAGUUACCUUUCAUUUUGUACACAAGAGUUGGUGUACUAAAGACUGAGGGUCCUGCUAAGACCAGAGGGGGGUUAUGAGUCUUCCACAAGCUAUGGUUUAGGAAGUGAAAAGACAGAUCCCUCAGGGAGAGCCAACAAAAAUAAAUGACUUUACAAGCUGGCCUACAAGAACUGGCUAUUUUAGUAAGGCCGUCAACGAGAGAAAGAGACCCAAAAUAUGCCCUCUUCAACUGAGACAGAGGCUAGCAACAUUCAAGCACUUCCCCAGAUUCUCAAUGCCGGUGUGGAAAUGGAUUUCAUGUAAAACUUUCAAAACAGCCAGGGUACUUAAAAAACAAUGACACUAAAGUGGCUGUGCCCACUCUCAACUCACGGAUCUAAGGGUUUAUCCCUGUCCACUGCCUAAGACAACAUCCUCCCCCAUCCCGAGUUCGCCAUUUUCAGACAUGGCCAGCACGCAGGAUAUAUCAGAACUGGGAGAAAGUGAAAAGUAUACCCCGUAUGAGAGCACAUGAAAUGGGCUUUCUUAUCAUUUACCUGGCAUUCAGAACUAACCACAGCCACUAAAAAAGGCCACCCAUAGCCCAAACUGUGAAAAGACACCUGCAGAUGUUCGAAUGUCUAGCCCUUUGCUUUGGUACCACUUGGGCAGACCCACAUGUGGCCCUGGUUCAGUUAAGAAUCCCUCCCUGACCUUUGGUCCGGCCUCUCAGCCCAAUCAUGGUUCAUUCACAACACUUUCUCACUGAUAAAGACUUCACUCCGUUCCAUAACCUGCAGAUAUCUAUGACACCUGUAAAUCACAGAAAAAACAGGCCAAGCCACCCGGAGCAUCUCCUGAUUCUCGAUGCCAUAACACGUCACUCCAGUUCCUUCAUGAGCGAUACAUGCAGACGUCUCCAUCUGAACACAUGUAAGCAUCCCUAUGCCAACCUUACAUACACAUACAAACCGUGAGGCAAUACACAGGAAACGCUUAUAUGCUAUUGCAGUAUGUUGCACUAAUGCCCAAAAUAAGCAGGUACACAGACCGUUUCCUCCACGAGGAACAGAGCUUUUCUCAGUAGUACAAUUCUCACAGGGAAUUGCACAGUCUGAGCCUAACGAAUUAGUAUUAUAGGAUCAUUUAUAGCACACAUUGGAGGCGGUUAUGUCUAUUUUUCCUUCAUGAAAAACCUACAAAUGAAAGAAAUGAAGAGAUCUAACUGAGAUCGUACAGUUACAAAACAGUAGUUACUGAUUCUGACUUCAACACCAUUACACACCAUUGUUCUGUCCCUGGGUUUGUAUAUGCACCCUCUGUAUUGGAAAUGAACUUCCAGGGAGAAGUGAAGCCAUAAAAUAAGCAUAUAUACAUAUGUUCUCUAUGCUGUUGAUUUCGCAAGGCAUGCAUGUGCGUGCUAACAACCCCCCCACCCAUGUCAAUCACAGAGCACACUUUCAGAACUUAUAUGAAUUUCA
rnacentral:sRNA from 1 species